rnacentral:rRNA from 1 species
UACGAAGGGGGCUAGCGUUGCUCGGAUUCAUUGGGCGUAAAGGGUGCGUAGGUGGCGCCAUAAGUCAGGUGUGAAAUCUCGGGGCUCAACCCCGAAACUGCAUUUGAUACUGUGGUGCUCGAGUACUGGAGAGGAGAUUGGAAUUUACGGUGUAGCAGUGAAAUGCGUAGAUAUCGUAAGGAAGACCAGUGGCGAAGGCGAAUCUCUGGACAGUUACUGACACUGAGGCACGAAGGCCAGGGGAGCAAACGGG